UCAGGACUCAGAGCUUUUAUCCAGCCUUGAGCUAUUCUUGCUCUGCGUGGGGGAGGGAGGGCUGUAGGCUGCUUCGUCUUCCGAGUAAGGAUGUGAAAAUGAAGAGGAGCCUGGUCUGAGGCUGAGGGGGGAGACAGCAGAUGAGUGCGUGGCCCAGGAGCCAGAGGAAAAGGAGCUGAAGAAAGAGCCUGGUGUCACAGAAAAUAGAACAUUAACGACGUCUGCUGUGUUGUAUCUCCAAGCAGGGAAACAAGGCUCUGUGGGGGACAGGGCAGUGAAAAGGACCUUUCACAGAGAUUACUCAUAAGAAACAAGGCUAAAUCUCCCCAGAGGAAAACUACAAGGGUCCUACCGCCGGGGUAGUGACGAGCACAUGCACGCGUGAGUCUGGUUGCUCUCAUCUUUGAAUUCUCUGCUGAAAUAGCACGUCCUCACAGGGAACUUGCCCAACCACCCUCUUCAAAGCAGAAGCCCCAGGUUCAUUUCUGACCUAGCAUCCCAUUUAUUUUCUUCAGAACAUGUGCUAUAAUAUGUAAAUAGCUUCUUUAUUGUUCACUGUUAAAUUUUUCUAUCUAGAAUGAAAUGUGUUUAUUGCAGGAAAAUGGAAUCUUGUAAGAACGGUUUGUCCAGAUCACUUCGGGAUCCCCAGCACCUGGCACGUGGUGGCACCCACUAGCUUCUCAAUGAAAGCUUGUUCAAUAAAUGAAUGACCCCCACUAUUGGUGAGAGUGUC
rnacentral:lncRNA from 1 species